AGACGGACGCAAAGGAGCGCGGUUUCCUGUUCGGGGCUGGGGGUCCGCCGUCUUCCUUUCCCGCUAAGCCACCCGUCCCAAGCCAGAGACUGAAAAAAGGUGCUGAAAGUCGCCAAACCACACGCUUCCAAAACUCUCACGGAUACGUCGGGUUGGCCGCAGUGAGAACCGGAUGCUGAACCAGAUGGGCCACUGGCGUCAUCCAGCAGGCUUUUCUUAUGCCUUUUCUCUCGGGGAUCUGUGCGACCGUCUGUCUUCCCGCCCAGAAACCCACCACGGAGGCCUCGACCUACGCGCCUUGCUUUCCAAAAUACAGGCAGAGAGAUACCUUGUUUCCCGAAAAGGAAUGUGGCAGCUAGACUAGUGACUGGGAGUGGCCACCGAGACCAUAUUACAUUGGUCCUGAAAGACCUACAUUGGCUUCUAAAUGUAUCCAAAGUAGGGUCCCACACACAACAUGAGGGAUGAUGACUAAAAACUAAG